rnacentral:rRNA from 2 species
CGGCGUGCCUAAUACAUGCAAGUCGAGCGAAUUUAAAGGAGCUUGCUCCUUUAAAUUAGCGGCGGACGGGUGAGUAACACGUGGGCAACCUGCCUGUAAGACUGGGAUAACUUCGGGAAACCGGAGCUAAUACCGGAUAAUAUCUAAGACCACAUGGUCUUAAAUUGAAAGAUGGCUUCGGCUAUCACUUACAGAUGGGCCCGCGGCGCAUUAGCUAGUUGGUGAGGUAAUGGCUCACCAAGGCAACGAUGCGUAGCCGACCUGAGAGGGUGAUCGGCCACACUGGGACUGAGACACGGCCCAGACUCCUACGGGAGGCAGCAGUAGGGAAUCUUCCGCAAUGGACGAAAGUCUGACGGAGCAACGCCGCGUGAGCGAUGAAGGCCUUCGGGUCGUAAAGCUCUGUUGUUAGGGAAGAACAAGUAUCGUUCGAAUAGGGCGGUACCUUGACGGUACCUAACCAGAAAGCCACGGCUAACUACGUGCCAGCAGCCGCGGUAAUACGUAGGUGGCAAGCGUUAUCCGGAAUUAUUGGGCGUAAAGCGCUCGCAGGCGGUCCUUUAAGUCUGAUGUGAAAGCCCACGGCUCAACCGUGGAGGGUCAUUGGAAACUGGGGGACUUGAGUGCAGAAGAGGAGAGCGGAAUUCCACGUGUAGCGGUGAAAUGCGUAGAGAUGUGGAGGAACACCAGUGGCGAAGGCGGCUCUCUGGUCUGUAACUGACGC